GGGGGCGAAAUGGUUUCGACGGGAUUCGGAUGGAUUCAAUAAGGCGAGUCGAGGUCUCCACCGGGGCUCGUAAAAAGGUGGAAACACUUAAACGCCAACGAUGAAUUGGCAUUCGCUGCCUAAUUAGGUAGCACACCUCUCAGCCGAUGGUUCGCUAAGCUGAAAAGGUGACGAUUAGCGAACUGGUUUCCGGAAGUGCCUGGGUACCGGAAAUGAGAACAACCUGGGAUAGUGGGUUAUCAGAUCCCGGCCUCAAGGAUCGAUAACCGGCGAUAGCUUUGAAUUGAGGAUACACUCGUAGGCUUAUUGGAUUCAUGAAUUUCGGACGCGGGUUCAACUCCCGCCGCCUCCACCA
rnacentral:tmRNA from 1 species